AAAUGCGAAUAGAAGUUGUAUUGAUUCGAUUGAUUCUUACAAAUCGGCCGUAGACCUCUCUUUUUAUAGAGGAGGGGGGCUGGACCCUUUACACGACUGGAUUCCGAGCUAAUUUCGCAAAUCUACCCAACAAACAUAGCACAAAACUCAGAACCCUAAACUGCUCUGCGCAUGCGCGGACCGUCCGGCCCACAGGCGCGGACUGUCCGGACCACGGACCGUCCGGCCUCAGAGCCGGACCGUCCGCCCGCUCAAAAUGGAGCUCAACAACGCGUCAUGAAGAAACGCCGGCUGCGCGCAGGGCGAACUGAAGCAGGAGCACCGAGCAGAGGAGGAAAAAGCACGGCUGGGUAGAGAAACUUCACGGCGCUCGGCGCGGCGAGGACGCACGCGCAGGUGAGCUGGAGCUGCGUGCGACGCGAGCAGAGGAAGAAGACGACAGUGGGAGAGGGCGACCGCGGCGCGCUAGGGAGUUCGACGGCGAGCUGCAGGAAGAUCCGGCCAGGCGCCAUGGCUGGGAGCUCUGAGCAGAGGAAGCAUCACGGCAGUGGCAAACGGCUGGGGUGGCUCUGGUGUGGAUCCUGGUUUGGAGAAGAAUGACGGUCGACGAGGAGGACGCCGGUCAAAGCAGCGGCCGGACAUCCAUGGCAGCCGUCGAAGCACAGUGGAGCUGAGACAGGGCAGUGACGCACGCCAACCCUGUGCGCGCAUAGAGAGGAGGACGGAGAAGACUAGAGGUGAGCUAGGGAGCCGAGAAUCGGCCAGGGGCACGCAGGGAGAAAUGAGAGGCCGCGGCAAAGGGAAGAGAUCUAGGCGAUGGAUAUCUCUGCAGGAAUUGAGCGGCGGAAGAAAAAUCUCCACGCCCGCCCGCGGCAGUGAGCGGUGGGAGGAUGAGGAUCGGCUGGAAGUGACUCAGAAAAAAUCAGGAAGCCAUGUGGAGUUACGUGAAGAAAUGAUGAUUGAUGACUAGGAGAUAUUUGGGAGAUUUUUGAGGAAUUUUUAUUUUCUUUUUCUUUCUCACGCAAAAGCGUCAGCCAAAAUACCAUAGAUAUUUUGGAUCCCAAUUUUCUUAACGAUGUAUACAAUGUAGACAGUAAUUGUGACACGGUUUUGAUUUAGCGAAUACUUAGAAUCAGAUAAAUUUGCACCCGUCAUUUAUAUCCAAAGUUUUGGAUCGGGGCGAGAAACGAUGGCCCGAAUAAGACCGAUUAGAAUUUAUUCGAGUUUGGCUCGGUAUUUUAAUCUGCUCUUCGUGAUUUGACUGACAUUAGCCGCAACCAUAUCUGCUGAUGCACACGCGAUUUUGUCGUCAAAACAGCGUGCAGAAGGAUAAAGUGGAUCUUAACCUCGCACACGAUUUCUCUCAGACAACGCGUGUUACAGAUUAUUUUGCCCCGAUAUAUUAGUCGUCGAGUUCUUCUUAAUCGGUUCGGUAUAAAAUCAUCCGAGUGAGUCGGGCUUCCGAAUUCGUAUUCGCGCGAGCGAUAAAUUUUUAAAUAAUCACCGGACGCAUCGAUUUCUGGAAUAAUUAUGUUCCGAACAACACGAAAAUUUAGGAAGAGCCAAGACGGAUAAAAAUAAAAACGAUGUCGCACUCGCGACAAAGGAAACAGAUGCGAUAUUAAAAUCGCGAUAGGCGAUUAUAAUUAGACCUCAAUGUCCGUCUUAUUUACUGAUAUCACGUGCUUAAAUCCGUACUCAUUGUCGAGCGGAAUAUAAACACCUAGGGUGUUACAGCCCUCGCCACUUAAAAGAAUCUCGUCUCGAGAUUCGGAGCGAAAGACUUUUAAGAGUAGAGAAGCAUGUAACCCAUGUCCAUAUUAGUGAUAAUCAUAAGACAGUUCCAAGCAAAGGUGAGUGUCUCAGGAUAGGGUUUCUCUAGUGGACAUAACAUGUAUCGCCUUAGGCAAAUUUAGAAAUGUCCACCAAUAAGGAUGUUGUCUGCCAGAGGAACACAUAAGGUUCCAUGUGUGCAGUUCGCUUUUUCUGAUGACACUGUACUAUCUGAGUCUAUUGAGUGAGCGACAAUUACGCGAUUUUAUCCAAACAGAAUCAGAUGCAACCUCUUGGGUAAAACACACAAAAGGAGGUUUACCAACAAGUGGUUACGGUAAGUUCAUAGCACAGGGAACAUGUGUGGAUGUCGAAUACUGUCGUGGUUAACAUGUGGCUAACCCGAGAAUUCAAGUCCAUGAAAGAUGGUAUAGAUUCAAAGAAUCACCGGCGAAGGGACAUGUAGAUGCGGACUUUGCAACUAGUCCAUUUUACCUAGUACUAAUCAUGGCUCGACUUGAUCACCUAUGCUGGGAAAACACACGUGAUGCGAUCGAGGCAUGACUAGAGCGAUAAUUAGGUGGUUAUUAGUCGACUUAACUUGAUCUGUGUAAGUACUUUCUUAGAAUGGUUUGAACCAAAGUGAGUUUAGAUAACUCGAUAAAACGAUCUCUAAACUCACCCUUUGUUCAUUGGAUAGUUGCAAGUUAGUAAAACCAACUUGUUGAACUACUCAUGACAUUGAGUGGGUCCUCUCAGUACCAUCGGUAAGCCAAGGGUUGAGAGUUCACAUUUUGCUACCAAAAGGUCAUGCACUUGGGUAGAAAUCCAUUUGGUCAGGUUGUUCAUCUGUUUCUUCGUACGAGAUGAACGGAUUUAGUUAAGGAAUAUAUGGAUUAAAUAAGAGGGCGAAUGAACAAACUCCUGCAUCUCAGCAGCAGGGGAAACAAAUCACCAUUUUGAGAGCUAAUCAGUUGUCUCUCGACACUAAAAAGCUCCAAGGCUUCACCUUUACACAAAGGACGUAAAGGGAACUUGUAUGUGUGUAGUCACCACCAAAGUAAAGGGACAAGAGACCACACAUUAAAGGGGUAUGCCCUUUUGAUCCAACAGAGAUGAUAGAUGUUGCUUGAUCACUUGACAAACAACAUAGAAAUUGUUUCAAGGAAGUAGUUUACGGAAGAUAACACAUAAGUGUAGUUCCACAAUGGAUCAUGACCAGAGACCUUGAUACCAGCAUCCGACGAGUAGCACAGUCCUGUGUGCGCAUUCACAGGAGGCUCUCAGUUUCGCUGCGGCACCAUAAGUCAUUAACCAUGACACCAUUACCGAACUGGCACCAAUAACAAUCUCACGUAGCAAAAAAACAUAUUGUGCCAAGAUAACGUAUUGACAUAAUCUCAUAAUGGAUUACAACUACUAACUGUGAUACCAGCGCGUGCCGAGUAGCACAACCAUGUGUGCGCACCCACAGAAGGCCCUCGGUUUCGUCACGGCUCCAUCAGUUUUAAUCAUAGCACCAUUACCAGACAUAACCAAUAAGAAAUCUCGCGCGACACCAAUGGAUUAGGCAAGGGUGACAAUAUACAAAGAGACUCUACCUGUCAAAACGGUUACAAGUAGAGAGUCAAAUAGAUCAUGGCCCAAUGAAAUGAACAAGGCAUGGCCAUAACCUAAACUUGAUGGAAGGAGUAUGAUGGGAGACUGUUAAUUCAGCCCCAAACAUAUUUCUAUGCCCAUCAUAGGGAUUACAAGGUCAAGGAUUAGUAUCUGACUAGAUGCGGAGUAAAAAUAAUCAUGAGAUUAAGUUGGUAUGCCUUCGAUAGAAAUGAGGAAAUCAAAGGCAUCAAACUCAAGAAAAUGAUGAGACAUGUCUUUCCUAGGUUGGGUCGAUAAAGCAAUAUGGCGAUCCUUAAGAACAUGCAAACUAGAUAAGGGACAUCAGCUUGUGCCAAUCGAACAAGGGCAUGGUCUAAGAUGGAAUUAUGACAACUAAAACAUCACAGAUUAAAUAGCAAGAACAUGGACUCGAGAUCCUAGCUUUAAGCCCAUGCACAUCUUGCGUUGGAUAAAGGAAUUAUCCAAACAUCCAUUUACAUGAGUUUGGUCAUGGGGAAAUAACAGGAAAUUCAACUUUGGGUCAUGGUUCACCUACUAAGAACAUGACCUAGAUUUGGGUUUAGGCAAACAAGUGUCUAACCUUCUAUCGACACAUUAAGCACAAGAGCACACAUAUAGCAUCUAAACAUAAUACCUAAGGAACGAAGAACAACUAUUUUAUUGAAGUUCAUAAUUCAACAUUACACCAGAUUAUCUACAAUCACUGGUUUCUGGAAUAAGGAUGAGAGAAGCAUUUUGGAUGUAUAUGUAACAAACAUGAUGCAACAAUCAGGAUGCAUCCUCGUCCUAUACGUCCUCACGAAUUUGUGCCAAUCUAAUGUGGCAGUAGCGUUCUAUCUCGGUGGCAUACUUACGACUCUCACGGUAUUUUGCUAGUCGUCAGCUACACAUACGUUUUCGAGGUUAGUGUACCUGCAGAAAAUUCCAUCACAACCCAAUUUCCCAAUGAUGCAGUUCACACAAGGCAAUUUAUCACAGUUUAUACUCCAUAUAUUGCUAUAUGGAUGCCAGCUCAUCAUUAAGCGUCGAACCACGCAUAGGCGUCGUUGCCACACUUUAACCAUAGGGCAACUCAUUAUGGUAACUCACCUUCUUACCUGAGCGUAGAUGCGUCGUUACAAGUACAUUACAUUUCUCAGUAUGCCCAUGUCUGUAUACCCAUAGACAUCCAUGGGGUAUUGAAUUCCCAGAAAAUUUAAAUACUCCACAUCACGGCCUUCAUAUAUACAUAUGUGGAACAUGUAUAUAAUCAAGCGCUUUUUACACUCUUCCCUAAACCGACGUUUGUUCGGUCAUGCUCUCACAUCUCACCUUACCUUGAGCGUCGAUCCAUUCAAAACUGAAUGGCCUUAAAAAUAACAAUACACAUGUAUGCAAUACCCACCCGGUUGUGGGUUAGUGGUUUUCAAAUAAGCCACCUGAUAGUCCUUAGUUUAGGGCUUAACAGAGGAUGUCGCUAGCAUUGUAGUUUUCAAAUCUAUAGUUUUUCAAAACCAAACAAUGUGUUUAGAUGAAAAUAGGUUUUCUAAAACCAAAACUUUUGUUUUGAAAAUACGUAUGUGAAGUAUAUACUUAAUCCUGCUCCGAUACCAGCUGUGGCAGAACCUCCCAAGGUAUCGGACCCACAUGCACCUGUCCUUGUCCCAAAGACCUCAGACGGCCAUGCAUGUGCACCAGAUAACUUAACAGGAUCCGUCCGAUUGCCCCAAGGACAUCGGAUAAACCACUUACAACCAGAACCGCGGGAUUAAGUAAACACAAAUCACACACCAACAAUUUUGCAACGAAAAUCUUAUUACCAAAUUUUACAAGUUACAUCAAGUUUUACUUUGUAUGAUCGGAGUGAUUACAAAGUAUAAGUUUGAAAUAUAUGCUAGCUCAAGUGACCAUCCUCAAUAAGAAGGUAAAGACAGGGUAUACUUAUAUAAGAAGGCCAAGCCCACCGGCACUUAACACCAUCACAACAACACAAGGUUAGAACCUAAAAAACAACAGGGAAUAAAACCCUGAGUAUGAAAUUACUCAGCAAGACUUACCCGACUAAAGAAAAGACUCUCAAGGAUAUGCUGGAUUUGGGACUCAAGGAGAGGCUUUAGCAAGAAUCAACUUAGAUACUUUUGCAGAAUUAGCUUACUAAAGUGAGUCCUUACUUUCAAUAUUUUAAUGCCAGAUUAAAUAUUAAUAGACUUUGUUUGCAUCUGGUCUAAUUUCACCAUCUCAUCAAUACAACAUCAUUUUUAUUCAUGAGAUUCACAUCCUGACUUAGGUUGCAGGGCAGCGAUCAAGUCUCCACUCUCCGGGGAUAUAACGGCGAUCCGAAUCGAUUUACUCAGCUGAGGAUCUCUAACCACACGACAUAUGUAGCACUUAACCCUUGCACAUGUCAACCGUUCCCACGGAUCCUCCACAACAUGAACAGGUCCACGCCACCCGAGAGCACACCACCCCUUUUAGGCGAUCCUUUGCCAGGAGGGUACGUGCCACUCUCGCCAUCUCUCCACUCCCAGUGCGCGAUUGUCUUUUCAUGUAUGGAAUAGCCGGGUUCAAGAUUACCUUGUCCCAUAUCCAGGGCAUGUGGCUAGUUAAGAUAGUCCUUGAUCAUACAGGCCUACAUACGCAUCCAAUCCUUAAUUGACCCGGGCGGAACAUCACCUGUUCCUAGCCCAAGUCCCGAUUUUAGUACUUCCACCCUUAGGAUUGUUUGUAUUCCUUAGGAUGAAAAGAGCAUCAAAGGGAACUUUGCAGUAAGAUCCCAUCACGCUCUCAAUGAAAAUAUUCUUGCAGGUAGAAGCCAUCUUUCCUCAGGAUAACCCCUGAGCUAGGCCUUAAUGCAAAAGACAACCUCUAUCCACAAGAUCUGAGCAGGGCUAAGCAUUUUUGUAAAUCAUGUUUUGAUACUCUACCAGAAGUAUCUAUAAAGGUAUGGAUAUCAAGGAAGGAAAUGCAUCAAAGGGUUUCCAAACAACUCCUAUAAACCUAAUGCACAUUCACUAGACUUAAAGUGUGUAAAAAUAAUUUAAAAACACAAGGAAGGGGUUGCAUGCACCGAGGCUUGCCUGGAUAACACUAGGUUAGUGUUUGUUAGACGUCGUCCACUUGGCGAUCAUCUUUUGUUCUGAUACUUGUUUCGUUUGUCCAUCUUCAGUUCCGUUCAUCAGCACCAUCUUGUGGUCGACUCAGUUCUGGUUCUCCACAUCACGUGGUUAAUUCACGUACCUGAAUGAAAUGCAUUAUGCAUAUGAAUGCAUAUAGACAGGAAUAUCGCAAACCUAAAUAGUGCUUGUGAUAGCGAAUUAAACACCUAGCGGCGAGGCGUUGAAUAAUUUCAUACGAAAAUACUAGUUAUCGAUAUACGACUACGCGCAAUAAUUACGCUCCUCUAGAUUAAACGAACCUAACGUAAACAUCACGAGCAACAAACUAUACACCUUUAAUAUACUUAGCCUAAACAUAACUUAUCAGCUAAUUAAUUAAAUUCUAAACUUAUCCUUCAUUUUAUAAAUUGUACUAUAUCGCUCACAAAAAACUAUUUUAAUUUUAUUUUACUUCCCACAUAUUUUACAUGUCAACAAUUACUCAAACAUUUCUUUAUCAUAAAUACAUACACAUCUUUAUAAGUGAGUAAACUAUUUUAUCAUCACACAGGCCAACUAAUAUUCUACUCGGUACACUAAUUCAGCUAAUUAAUCAGAAUAGCGAAAUAACUCGCCACAACUGAAUCUGGCUCGAUAAUCGCAAGAACCGUGAAGUCGACGAGAGUUUCGUGACUUACGCAAUUUAUCGAGCACCUUAAUAAGCAUCGCACUAGCACAUUAAUUUAUUCAUCGAUCGAACUAUUCUGAAUAAUUUAUUAGCUUACUGUUUCCACAGCUGACACGAAUCCGCGAGAUCGGUAGCGAUUUUCCGAUCCAGGCAGUUUGUCGAGCGCUUGGAUAAUAUCGCGCUGCUAGCUUCGUCUUCACCCGAUUCUUGGGAUUUCUUGCUGAUGCACGGAACGACUAUGACCUUCGAUUGAAGUCAGGAGCGAGCUGGUGAGGUGGGGUUGAGUAGGAGAUGACGGGUUUGACGACUCGACUGCAAAUGUGAGCACGUGUGAAGCCCGAUGGAUGAAGAGCGAGCGUGACACAGCAAGAACGAGCAGGCGCGCGAGUGUUAACGCGAGCCAGCGGCAAGCACGAGUGCUGAGGUACAACCGACAACACUCGGCGAGCACGCAGCGAGACACACAACAGCGACGACAGCCGAAUCGGCAACAGAGUGUUGGCGAACUCGACGAACACGACCACGGUCGCGUGCUGGCGCGGAUAGGAUAACAACAACUUGACGAGUUGAAGCAUCAGCGGGUAGCCGACGAGGGUGAGCAAAGCAUGCAGGACACCGGGCGUCGCGGCGAGCUAGAAAAGGAUUCGGCGCGGGAGCACGACACGCACAGAUUUUUGUUUCGUUGCUCCACGCAUGACGCGUGGACAGAUGGCAAGCAGGGAUGCGCGGCGAAAUCUCGAGCACGACACAGGGAACCGCCCACGGCGAGCAUAGGGACACGGCUGCGCGCGGCGUGUGCGCAGAGAGCUCGACCGGGCGCGGCGAGCUGGGGACUGAGCGCGGUCCGAGCUAGGAAGAAUCGGAAUACCACGACGUGCAGGGAGAUGGCAAAGCGGAGCACGCGUCAUGAAGAAACGCCGGCUGCGCGCAGGGCGAACUGAAGUAGGAGCACCGAGCAGAGGAGGAAAAAGCACGGCUGGGUGGAGAAACUUCACGGCGCUCGGCGCGGCGAGGACGCACGCGCAGGUGAGCUGGAGCUGCGUGCGACGCGAGCAGAGGAAGAAGACGACAGAGGGAGAGGGCGACCGCGGCGCGCAAGGGAGUUCGACGGCGAGCUGCAGGAAGAUCCGGCCAGGCGCCAUGGCUGGGAGCUCUGAGCAGAGGAAGCAUCACGGCAGUGGCAAACGGCUGGGGUGGCUCUGGUGUGGAUCCUGGUUUGGAGAAGAACGACGGUCGACGAGGAGGACGCCGGUCAAAGCAGCGGCCGGACAUCCAUGGCAGCCGUCGAAGCACAGUGGAGCUGAGACAGGGCAGUGACGCACGCCAACCCUGUGCGCGCAUAGAGGGGAGGACGGAGAAGACUAGAGGUGAGACAGGGAGCCGAGCAUCGGCCAGGGGCACGCAGGGAGAAAUGAGAGGCCGUGGCAAAGGGAAGAGAUCUAGGCGAUGGAUAUCUCUGCAGGAAUUGAGCGGCGGAAGAAAAAUCUCCACGCCCGCCCGCGGCAGUGAGCGGUGGGAGGAUGAGGAUCGGCUG
rnacentral:lncRNA from 1 species